rnacentral:rRNA from 1 species
CCCCCUCCCGUUGAGUCGUGCUCUCCCCUGGCCUUAACCCUUGCCGUUUCUUCUUCCGGGGCCUAACAAUGCAAGUCGAGCGGRGGAAGGUAGCUUGCUACCGGACCUAGCGGCGGACGGGUGAGUAAUGCUUAGGAAUCUGCCUAUUAGUGGGGGACAACAUCUCGAAAGGGAUGCUAAUACCGCAUACGUCCUACGGGAGAAAGCAGGGGAUCUUCGGACCUUGCGCUAAUAGAUGAGCCUAAGUCGGAUUAGCUAGUUGGUGGGGUAAAGGCCUACCAAGGCGACGAUCUGUAGCGGGUCUGAGAGGAUGAUCCGCCACACUGGGACUGAGACACGGCCCAGACUCCUACGGGAGGCAGCAGUGGGGAAUAUUGGACAAUGGGGGGAACCCUGAUCCAGCCAUGCCGCGUGUGUGAAGAAGGCCUUAUGGUUGUAAAGCACUUUAAGCGAGGAGGAGGCUACUUUAGUUAAUACCUAGAGAUAGUGGACGUUACUCGCAGAAUAAGCACCGGCUAACUCUGUGCCAGCAGCCGCGGUAAUACAGAGGGUGCGAGCGUUAAUCGGAUUUACUGGGCGUAAAGCGUGCGUAGGCGGCUUAUUAAGUCGGAUGUGAAAUCCCCGAGCUUAACUUGGGAAUUGCAUUCGAUACUGGUGAGCUAGAGUAUGGGAGAGGAUGGUAGAAUUCCAGGUGUAGCGGUGAAAUGCGUAGAGAUCUGGAGGAAUACCGAUGGCGAAGGCAGCCAUCUGGCCUAAUACUGACGCUGAGGUACGAAAGCAUGGSSAGCAAACAGGAUUAGAMMCCMUCGAAAAC